CCUACGGGGGGCAGCAGUAGGGAAUCUUCCACAAUGGGCGAAAGCCUGAUGGAGCAACGCCGCGUGGGUGAAGAAGGUCUUCGGAUCGUAAAACCCUGUUGUUAGAGAAGAAAGUGCGUGAGAGUAACUGUUCACGUGUCGACGGUAUCUAACCAGAAAGCCACGGCUAACUACGUGCCAGCAGCCGCGGUAAUACGUAGGUGGCAAGCGUUAUCCGGAUUUAUUGGGCGUAAAGGGAACGCAGGCGGUCUUUUAAGUCUGAUGUGAAAGCCUUCGGCUUAACCGGAGUAGUGCAUUGGAAACUGGGAGACUUGAGUGCAGUAGCGGCGAGUGGAACUCCAUUUGUAGCGCUGAAAUGCGUAGAUAUAUGGAAGAACACCAGUGGCGAACGCGGCUCUCUGGUCUGUAACUGACGCUGAGGUUCGAAAGCGUGGGUAGCAAACAGGAUUAGAUACCCCAGUAGUC
rnacentral:rRNA from 1 species